UAUCAUACGAGGUUUUAACAACCAUUGUGAUUUCCUUGAUUCAGCAAGAAGAUUAUUUAAAUGUGUGGGAAAAUGCAUAUUCCCUAAGAAUAUGAAAAAGGGGCUUACUUUCCCCUGGAAGUACAAUAAGGUGUAUUGAGUAAAUAAUUGUAUUUAAUCUUUGUUUUCAGUCGUUUUCCUCUGUAAAGGUUAUGAAAGGCUGCAUUCAUGAUAAUUCAGAUGAUGCCUGUGGAUUUAUACCCAACCGUGCAUACUUAAUAUCAGUAAACAUACUAAUUGGUCACUGCAUGAAAAUAUGAGCAAUUAGACACCUUUUACAUUAGUGAUGCUUUGAGUAAUAUAAAAUGACCAGAUGAUCUGUUCUCUCCUGAUGUUAUUAGAUAAAGUUAGACUUUUUAUCACCGUUGUAGCAGAUUAAAAAUGCACAAGACAAGAAAGACAUUGACUGGAACUAAUGCACUUUGGUCUGACAAAAUAACUAGCCUUUUUAGUUCCAAUUAGCCCUCAGUUAUCACGUACUAGCAACGAUAUCAAAAAUUCAGCACCACUGGAUUGUCUUUAUAGCUGUCUAAUUCACUCAGUCUUCAUUUUUUUGCUAUUUAAAAAGUUUCAGGCAUUACAGAGUUAACUAUUCUCUUGAAAUUACUCCUCUUUAAGAAGAAAAAUCAUAUUACUUUCUUAAUCUUUCUAAUUCUUCUCUCCUAAGAUCAUCUUGGAUUUGUUCCUUUAACACCGACUCUUAGUGCAGUCCUGGUUUUCUGUAUUAAUGAAUUGAGAAGAUGACAUCAGGCUCUUAGGUCUUUGGAAAGAGGAUUUUGGAGUCCUGGGAACAUGUGGACCUCUCCACCAUGGUUCAGCUGUCAUGGGAAGGUGUUGUUGGAAAUCUGAAGUGUGCAACAAGGUCAUAAUUAUGUUUGGGAGGGAACAUUGGCAGGAGAUGGAAUGGUGCUGGAACUGAACAUACAAUAUAAACCUGGACAUGGUGACAACAAUAGCAGGAUACUUUGGACCGCAGACAAUAAUGACUUCAACCUGGAAAAAGGCUUACGGCUCAGUCAGAACUAGCCUAAAUCUAACCUUCAGUUUGGAGUCUUGGAUAAUGAGAGAAAACUGUCUGUCAAAUACAAGUAUGGAUACAUACUGGACUUCCCCACUGUUGUUUGAUUCACAGCUGAGCAAAGUGAGGUAGCCCAGACUUGAUCGAAGGCCCCAGAUGUUCCUUCCAGAGAGGACUAUGGAAACUGUUCCAUUCGAAAAAGAGAGAACUCAGCUUCGAGAUUUGUCCUUUUUUGAGAGAACAUCAUGGACUUUUCACAGAAACUGAGAAGGGCCACAGGGGCAGGCCGAGGGGUAUAUGUGAUGUUACUUUGUUUUCAGCGCAAGACUGCUGAAAGAGCCCCUCUCGGUCGCCAGCAAAAGGGCCAGCUCCACGAAUCGUCUCCAAGGUCAGCGCCAUGGGAUUUCCAUUUGCUUCUUCGAUGACAGUGUUGAAACAUCGGAGCAAUGGAACCUGACUGCUCAAAACUUCUCAGAGCAUUUACAGGUAGAAGUUUGCAAGUUUGGGAUCAUUUGAACUAGCGGUGUUAAAAGCAGCCUGAAAUUAAUCCGGACAACGAGCUUCAUCUGUUAUUUAUGCUAGGUCUGACGCUUAGCGUCAGAAGCACUCCAAAGAAUAUUUAAACAGACCUUGAAUAAAAAACACGCACAGGGAAGAAUCGGUGUUGUCAUCUCUGUAGGAUGAAUGUAGCGCGUUGCUAUUCUGCAUUUCCCCCCUCCCCUCCCCCAUCGCUUCUGCUCUUUUUGAAAAUCUUGGCACGCCAGAUCACUUCCGCAAGCUCCUGCAUGAUGAAGUUCUUUCCGUGCUGAACACCACCUCGUAGUGAGCUCAGCGCCCUUUCUGGCAUGCCUCAGGAGACAACUAACUACAAAGUGAAGCACACAAGGCCUAGAGUCCACUAAGAGACACUUCACACACAGCCUUCCCCCUCUUCCCCUGCCCCAACAGAUUUUUCUGGGUAGGGGG